rnacentral:rRNA from 1 species
CAGCAGCCGCGGGAAUACGUAGGUGGCAAGCGUUGUCCGGAAUUAUUGGGCGUAAAGGGCUCGCAGGCGGUUUCUUAAGUCUGAUGUGAAAGCCCCCGGCUCAACCGGGGAGGGUCAUUGGAAACUGGGAAACUUGAGUGCAGAAGAGGAGAGUGGAAUUCCACGUGUAGCGGUGAAAUGCGUAGAGAUGUGGAGGAACACCAGUGGCGAAGGCGACUCUCUGGUCUGUAACUGACGCUGAGAGACGAAAGCUAGGGGAGCAAAUGGGAUUAGAUACCCGCGUAGUCCCUGUCUCUUAUAC